rnacentral:rRNA from 1 species
AUUGAACGCUGGCGGCAGGCCUAACACAUGCAAGUCGAGCGGAUGAAGGGAGCUUGCUCCUGGAUUCAGCGGCGGACGGGUGAGUAAUGCCUAGGAAUCUGCCUGGUAGUGGGGGAUAACGUCCGGAAACGGGCGCUAAUACCGCAUACGUCCUGAGGGAGAAAGUGGGGGAUCUUCGGACCUCACGCUAUCAGAUGAGCCUAGGUCGGAUUAGCUAGUUGGUGGGGUAAAGGCCUACCAAGGCGACGAACCGUAACUGGUCUGAGAGGAUGAUCAGUCACACUGGAACUGAGACACGGUCCAGACUCCUACGGGAGGCAGCAGUGGGGAAUAUUGGACAAUGGACGAAAGCCUGAUCCAGCCAUGCCGCGUGUGUGAAGAAGGUCUUCGGAUUGUAAAGCACUUUAAGUUGGGAGGAAGGGCAGUAAGUUAAUACCUUGCUGUUUUGACGUUACCAACAGAAUAAGCACCGGCUAACUUCGUG